AAUGGAAUUGUUGAGUUAUAUGGUAAUUCUAUGUUUAACUUUUUGAGGAACUGCCAAACUGCUUUCCAGAGUGGCUGCACCAUUUUACAUUCUUACCAGUAAU
rnacentral:pre_miRNA from 1 species